UUUCAUGAAAUGCCCCUGAGGUUUGCAAUAAUGCACCAAAUACCCCUGCGCGUUUCAAAAUUCAUAGAAUACCCCUAUUUUUCCGUACUGUUCAUUAAAUGCACCUGUACUUAACGGACGUUAGCCUGCCGUUAGCUGUGUUUUACCAUUCUACCCUUAAUUCAUAUUUGGGGCUAUUAAGGAUGAAAAACCCUAAAGAAAAUCAAAAAAAAAAAAAGAAUCUCAAUCUUCUUCGCUUUCUCUCUCAUCUCCCCUGUUCUUCUUCCUUGAAUUCUACUCAAACGCUACAAAAUCUGGGUGUUCUUUGGGUGAAUUCGGGACAAAAAGGGGAUAUUUGAAGCGAUUUCGAUCUCACCCCCAAUUCAUCAAUGGCAGAUUCACCUCAAAUUACUCAGAAACACAAGGCUCCAUGAGGGUUCGAUCUCACCCCCAAUUCAUCAACAGCCAUUGAUCUUCUUCCAGUGAUUUGGUGGUGCAAGUGGUGGGAAGUCCGACGAAUCCACCAUUGUCGCCGACGAAGGUUGAAGGCUGGCCAAUUCCGCAAACUCCAAGAAGAGGAAGGAACCCGAGAAGUUGCAGAAGGUUGAAGAAGUGGGUCCUGUUUGUUUCUGAUAGUUUUGCUUAUGAGGGUGCAGUACUGAACGAACUAAAGCAGUGGAAGGAGCUCUAUGGAGAAGGAGGGUCAAGAAAUGAGCAACUUACUUACUUCUUAUAGGAAGGUGGUAUGGAGAAGGCGGGUCAAGAAAGAAGGAUCAGUUGUAAGAGAACUCUGAGUCCUCUUUGGCAAUAGAUACAUAUCAUAAGGCACUGAAGGAAGGUUAUGUAAUUUGUAUUUCUUGUUAAACACUUUUGGUGGGCGAGUGGGAAAAAGCGAGUUUUAGAUAUAGAUGCAACGAGGGCUUACAUAUAUCUACUUAUACCGUAUUCUGUAUUAAGAGUUUGCUCAUGUUGUAUAAGAAAAAUAAA